rnacentral:rRNA from 1 species
GAUGAACGCUGGCGGCGUGCCUAAUACAUGCAAGUCGAGCGAACGGACGAGAAGCUUGCUUCUCUGAUGUUAGCGGCGGACGGGUGAGUAACACGUGGAUAACCUACCUAUAAGACUGGGAUAACUUCGGGAAACCGGAGCUAAUACCGGAUAAUAUUUUGAACCGCAUGGUUCAAAAGUGAAAGACGGUCUUGCUGUCACUUAUAGAUGGAUCCGCGCUGCAUUAGCUAGUUGGUAAGGUAACGGCUUACCAAGGCAACGAUGCAUAGCCGACCUGAGAGGGGGAUCGGCCACACUGGAACUGAGACACGGUCCAGACUCCUACGGGAGGCAGCAGUAGGGAAUCUUCCGCAAUGGGCGAAAGCCUGACGGAGCAACGCCGCGUGAGUGAUGAAGGUCUUCGGAUCGUAAAACUCUGUUAUUAGGGAAGAACAUAUGUGUAAGUAACUGUGCACAUCUUGACGGUACCGAAUCAGAAAGCCACGGCUAACUACGU